rnacentral:rRNA from 1 species
AGAGUUUGAUCCUGGCUCAGGACGAACGCUGGCGGCGUGCUUAACACAUGCAAGUCGAACGAUGAACCAGGGCUUGCCCUGGGGAUUAGUGGCGAACGGGUGAGUAACACGUGGGCAACCUGCCCCAGACACCGGGAUAACCAUCCGAAAGGAUGGCUAAUACCGGAUAUGACCACUUUGGGCAUCCAACGGUGGUGGAAAGGAUUCUGGUCUGGGAUGGGCCCGCGGCCUAUCAGCUAGUUGGUGGGGUAAUGGCCUACCAAGGCGACGACGGGUAGCCGGCCUGAGAGGGCGACCGGCCACACUGGGACUGAGACACGGCCCAGACUCCUACGGGAGGCAGCAGUGGGGAAUAUUGCGCAAUGGGCGAAAGCCUGACGCAGCGACGCCGCGUGAGGGACGAAGGUCUUCGGAUUGUAAACCUCUUUCAGCAGGGACGAAGCGAAAGUGACUGUACCUGCAGAAGAAGCACCGGCUAACUACGUGCCAGCAGCCGCGGUAAUACGUAGGGUGCAAGCGUUGUCCGGAUUUAUUGGGCGUAAAGAGCUCGUAGGCGGUUUGUCGCGUCGGAUGUGAAAACCCAAUGGCUUAACCUUGGGCCUGCAUUCGAUACGGGCAAACUAGAGUGUGGUAGGGGAGACUGGAACUCCUGGUGUAGCGGUGGAAUGCGCAGAUAUCAGGAAGAACACCGAUGGCGAAGGCAGGUCUCUGGGCCAUAACUGACGCUGAGGAGCGAAAGCGUGGGGAGCGAACAGGAUUAGAUACCCUGGUAGUCCACGCCGUAAACGGUGGGCGCUAGGUGUGGGGAUUGUUUCCACGAUCUCCGUGCCGUAGCUAACGCAUUAAGCGCCCCGCCUGGGGAGUACGGCCGCAAG